AGAGUUUGAUCAUGGCUCAGGACGAACGCUGGCGGCGUGCUUAACACAUGCAAGUCGAGCGGUAAGGCCUUCGGGGUACACGAGCGGCGAACGGGUGAGUAACACGUGGGUAACCUGCCCUGUACUCCGGGAUAAGCCUGGGAAACUAGGUCUAAUACCGGAUACGACCCCUUCGGGCAUCUGUGGGGGUGGAAAGUUCCGGCGGUACAGGAUGGACCCGCGGCCCUAUCAGCUUGUUGGUGGGGUAAUGGCCCUACCAAGGCGACGACGGGUAGCCGGCCCUGAGAGGGUGACCGGCCCACACUGGGACUGAGACACGGCCCAGACUCCUACGGGAGGCAGCAGUGGGGAAUAUUGCACAAUGGGCGAAAGCCUGAUGCAGCGACGCCGCGUGAGGGAUGACGGCCUUCGGGUUGUAAACCUCUUUCAGCAGGGACGAAGCGCAAGUGACGGUACCUGCAGAAGAAGCACCGGCUAACUACGUGCCAGCAGCCGCGGUAAUACGUAGGGUGCGAGCGUUGUCCGGAAUUAUUGGGCGUAAAGAGCUCGUAGGCGGUUUGUUGCGUCGGCUGUGAAAACUUCACGCUUAACGUGGAGCCUGCAGUCGAUACGGGCAGACUUGAGUUCGGCAGGGGAGACUGGAAUUCCUGGUGUAGCGGUGAAAUGCGCAGAUAUCAGGAGGAACACCGGUGGCGAAGGCGGGUCUCUGGGCCGAUACUGACGCUGAGGAGCGAAAGCGUGGGGAGCGAACAGGAUUAGAUACCCUAGUAGUCC
rnacentral:rRNA from 1 species